AUGACACCUAUAGCUUUAACCAGUUGUCUAUGUAAAACUAUGGAGAGGAUGGUAAAUGAUCGUCUAGUCUGGUGCCUGGAAUCCAAACAUCUUAUAAGUAAGGCUCAAUGUGGUUUUAGGAAAGGUCGAAGUACAACAGAUCACCUUGUCAAUCUUGAAAGUUAUAUCCGUGAUGCGUUUAUUAAUAAGGAACAUGCUGUGGCUGUUUUUUUCGACUUGGAAAAAGCCUAUGAUACCACUUGGAAGUAUGGAAUCUUAAAGGAUCUGUAUCGACUAAAUUUUAGAGGUCGUUUGCCAAUUUUUAUUGAAAGAUUUCUUUCGAAUAGAAUCUUUAGAGUCAAGGUUGACAAUACUGUGUCCGACCCGCAUAAACAAGAACUUGGAGUACCUCAAGGAAGUAUUUUAUCAGUAACUCUUUUUAGUAUAAAAAUAGACAGUAUUGCUCAGGUUAUUGGUUUAUAUGUAGAUGACAUCUGCAUUUGUUAUAGAAGCAAGCAUAUAAACACUAUUGAACGAAAAAUCCAACUAAAAAUAAAUAAAAUGCUCUCAUGGUCAGUACAGAAUGGCUUUAAAUUUUCACAAACAAAAACUGUCUGUAUGCAUUUUUGUCAACUUCGUUCAUUGCAUAAUGAACCAGAAUUAUUUUUGGAUGGUAUUCCCAUUGAAGUCGCAAAGGAGACUAAAUUCCUUGGCAUAAUCUUUGACAAUAAGCUGUCAUUUAUUCCACAUAUCAAAAUGCUUAAAAAGAAGUGUUCUAAAGGCCUGAACAUCUUAAAGGUUUUGUCCAAAACUAAAUGGGGAGCAGAUAUGACAUCACUUAUGAACUUAUAUAGAACUUUGAUCCGAUCGAAGCUGGACUAUGGGAGUAUUGUUUAUGGAUCUGCCAGGAAAUCAUAUAUACAAGCAUUGGAUACUAUACAUCAUCAAGGCAUACGAUUAGCUUUGGGAGCAUAUAGAACAUCACCAAUUCAAAGUUUAUAUGUAGAAGCCAAUGAACCUUCCUUGGAAAACAGACGAUUAAAGUUGGCCUUACAAUAUGCAAUCAAAUUAAAAACAAAUAAAGGAAAUCCAGCAUAUCCGGCAGUUUUUACAGUCCAGUAUUCGAUAAUGUAUGAAAGAAAACCAAAUCAUAUUCGUCCAUUUGGUCUACGUAUAAAACCUCAUCUGGAAAAUCUCAAAGUAGAUUUAAACAUCUUGGAACAAACCCACUUUUGCAAAAUUCCCCCUUGGGAUAUCAAAAAACCCUUUAUUUUGUUGGAUUUAUCAAAGAAUCAAAAAACGUAA
rnacentral:lncRNA from 1 species